UCAAAGGCAACAGACACCCACAGGUGCCUCUUCUAACGCGACUGUGGAGGAGGAAAUGCGGCGGAUCUUCAGGGCUAGCUCAUCAGGUGUAUCAGGAAGUGCCAGUAGCACUUCGUCUGGAUCUAGCCUGAACCAAGUGAUGCAACCUCGAUAUCGAACUCAACAGUAUUUCGGUGGAUGGGCUUCAAAGUCAAGGAAGAGGCCGACCUCCUUAAAUCACCCUACCUUUAAUAAGGACAUCAUACUGCUACCUGAUUCUACAUGGGAUGAAGUCUGCAAACACAAAACCAAAAGAAGGCUUCAUGAAAGUUGCUAUAUUUUAAGUGCCUUUGAGAUGAGGAAAAUGUGGGACUGUCAUUGCAGAGAUAAGAGAAGCAUUCAAGGACAGAAUUCCUGAGGAUGUCAGUAUUGAUCUUUUGAUGGCAUGUGGAAACAAACUGAUUUCACCAAAGUUGUGUGAGGGCCAGGAACUGAAUGGCUUUAUGAUUCACAAGGUGUUCAAAUCAAAGGCAGUGUACAUUAGGCCAUCGACAAAUCUUCCAUUUCCGUCUGACAGCACAGAUUCGGAGGACAGUUGUGUGGAGGUUGACGCUACAUCAGCAUCUAGUGACCACAGUACCAGUCAGACCAGUGACUGUAUGACCACAAGGGCCAGGGGAAACCAAACUGCAUCAAUACAGCAGAUCUCUAGUUAUCCUUUCACAAGAAGGGCCAGAGCUAACCAGCUCUCUGCAACACAGCAAGCAUCCAGCGAUGUCUUGACCAGAGCUAACCAGCCUUCUGCAACACAGCAAACAUCCAGCGAUGUCAUGACCAGAGCUAACCAGCCUUCUUCAACACAGCAAACAUCCAGUGUCAUUGACUUAGAUAGUGUUGGCACGGUGAACCAGACACCAUCAGCUAGUGAUGACAACUAUGCUGCCUACCUUUCGAUCAUGGGUUCCAUCUCAGACCUUUCUUCUGAUGAUGAUCCAAACAAUUGAUGAAUUAAGCAACUCAUUACCAUCUCUAAAGUACCCUGUAAAAUAAACUAUUUGCACACAUUACAACAACUACAUUUUCAAAAUUGAGACAUAUUACACAUACAAAAACAAAAUUUUAACCACAACGAUAAAUUCUGUGUAGUCUUUCUUCUGGUUCUUCUAAAAAUGAUUGCUAGCUUGUACAUUUGGGAUUAAAUUGGAUUUGAAAUUGUUUGGCGAGUCUGAACAGAUUUAUUUCAGAUUGUCAAAGACAAAACAUAUUUCACAUUUUUUGCCAUCCUAGAUUUCAUCCUAACUUGUGCUGGCAUCUUGGAUUUUCGAGGAACGUGUUGUUCCAUUUUGGAGGGACUACCUG